AAGCAAGAAAAGCAACAAAAGGUCUCUAUAAUCGUCAUUUGAAAUAUUGAACACUGAGUGCCAAACAUUUCAAAAUGUAGUGUAAAUAUGAUACUUUAUUAUUUGUUCUUUUAUGUACGUUCAAAGAUUUUUCUUCACAGUUGUUCUUUCAUACACUAAGGAAAAGAAAGACUUCAAAAGAAUUACAACAACUGAGCUACAGUAAGUGAAGUUGCUUAUUCAGAAUUUGAAAUGCUUCUGUGGCUACAAUGACUUUUCAGCAGCACCUGCUAUUUUUAUGUCUCUCAUUUGGUAUCCAAACUUGGAAACACUUGUCAUCAAAUUUAUGAGGUCUCAUAUCAACCAAAGAAAACUGCAUGAGUGGAUAUAAAAAAUAAUGUGACUCUCCCCUCCAACAGGACAAAAGCAGAUCUUGGGUUUCCUGCAGACAUGGUCCUCCUGCUGUCAGCCUGUACAUCUGCAUGGUACAUAACAACUUCUUCACUGCAUUGACCCUGAAGAUCAAAGAGCUACUGAAGGCAGUUGGAGCUACUGCAUUCUGAUUCAGCUUGAGAUUUACAGUACCGUGCAGAUCAUGUUUUACUUUACCCGAUCCAAUUCACCUACUAUCUCAGAGUAAGAUAUAAUUUCAGUAAGACAGCACUGUGUCCUUACAGAUCAAAACCAGCCAGAAGCAAACCAGAGAACUGGCAAACAGAAAGUACAGAAAAGAAUAGACUCUUCUUGCUGAUACAAUUAAAUAAAAGUCAAUUGUUGAA
rnacentral:lncRNA from 1 species